rnacentral:tRNA from 1 species
GCUUCCUUCGUCUAAAGGACAGGACGCCAGGCUACGAACUUGGUAAUGAGGGUUCGACUCCUUCAGGAAGCA